GCAUAGAUACCACAGUUAUUUAGGAGUGGCCAAUUGAAUACCGCAGACAUUUGAAGAAUUUCUUCCUAUGAUUUCCACAUAUGUCAAAACCCCUCUUUCCAUGGCAAACUUGGGCUUUCUUAAACGCCUCAAGAACUUAUGAAUUAUGACUUGCUCAUUCACGGGAAGUAAUUACCUCUUCGUUGUAAGAGGUGACCUGACUUGUAUUUUAGAUCAUUUAUUUCUGACGUACAUAUGCACUCACACAUGCUAAGUUAUCAACUAUGAUU
rnacentral:misc_RNA from 1 species